rnacentral:rRNA from 1 species
UACGUAGGCAGCGAGCGUUGUUCGGAGUUACUGGGCGUAAAGCGUGCGUAGGCGGUGCUCUAAGUCUGGUGUGAAAUCCCCCGGCUCAACUGGGAGGGUGCGCCGGAGACUGGGGUGCUGGAGUGUGGGAGAGGUAAGCGGAAUUCCUGGUGUAGCGGUGAAAUGCGUAGAUAUCAGGAGGAACACCUGCGGUGUAGACGGCUUACUGGACCACGACUGACGCUGAGGCACGAAAGCGUGGGGAGCAAACAGG